AUUUUCGCUCCUCACAUAAACAGCAGCUCUGCGCGUGACCUGCUGCACUUGCCACCCUGAUUACAGGCUUGCCCUGACACUAAUUGUCUGUUGCCUAAUUUAUGCGCACCUGCUAUUUGCACCGACUCUGUAAGUCAUUCUGAGUGACGGCGUCUGCGCCAUGAACUGGUACAGAUUCACGUGAAUUUGGAUCCAUCGUUUUCGUCGCCAGUGUCGCUUCACUCGCAGUCGCAUCGGUGAUCUUGUGGUUCGCUCUGCGGUGUGUGGUUUAUGAUUGUUUGUUGACUCGUCACGCCAUUUAGCAGAUCUGCUUCAGAUUUUACCUGUCUGAUACUCUGGGCCCGACACCCCUCUCGUAACAUUGUACAGUCCUUCCAGUUUGGUUCCAGUUCCAAAUGUGCACAUUCAAAUAAUUUUAAAUGAGUAGGAAGUGAAAUCCAGCUUCUGAAUUCAGAUGCUGCAGAUAGGCUGCGGUCUGUAGAGUGGUUGGUGAACCACACUGAGGCCCGUUAACACUCUGUCCCCUCGCUUUCCUAUCUUAGCAAACCCAUAUAUUAGCAUGUGAAGAUCCACAAUAUCACCUCCCUGCAUGUGGGACUCACUAAUGACUAUUAGUGGUUGUAACUAAACCCUUUGGAAAGUAGCUUCUCUAAGGCAUCAGUAAGUGUGUUUUCUAGGCAUGCUUCACUAGGGUGUUACGUACCUCUGCAGGGUGUUGAGGACCCGUGACAAGUCACCUCCUUCGUGGGGGGAGGGACAUAGAUUCUCCCACAGGUACGUGAGUGGCAGAGAUAAGAGGGCAGCACAGCUGUAAAACUCCUGUAAGCAAUGCUGUCUUCUCCUGUGUCAGGUCUUUUGAGGAAGGAGGCACGAUUGGUCAGCAUUUGCAUUUGCUCUAGUGUGUGUGACACUCUGGGUUAGUAGAGAUCAGAAGGGUUUCAGUUUGAAUCCCAUGGCUGUAAGGGGGAUUUUACUAUUGGGCCUGAUCAGCGACUGAUCCUGCUCUCUGAUCCGGGCUUUUAUGUCACUGCGCAAAAACAUCUGCUAAAUAAAUGCUAAUUUUUCCAGUUCAUUCCCAUUUUGAGUAACUGAUACAUGUUUCAAAGGCAAAAAAAAAAGCUUGGUGUGCGUCUCAUUGAAGUUAGUGGGGCUUUGGAAAAGUCACCAAACGAGGCGGGAAAUGUGGAGCAUGCAGCCGUUUGUACACGACGCUGAAGACCUCGAACGGCGCGAUGUCACUGCGGGGUCAGCAUCUGCUACCGCAAAGCUGAAGCGUAGCAGCUGAUGCUGUGGCUUCCAGAGGCCCCUGCCAGCUUCUGCCGUCUCCCCGAGUAAAAGAUCUGGACAUAAAUUCAGUUAAUUCUUGAGGUUAUUUUUUUUCUUCUUUUUAUAAUUUGAUGUGGUUAGCAGUUUACAGAGCAAACGAAGCAGUGAAUGCAAUAAAUGGUAAUAACCGAACGGUGUAAGAUGGAGCGCAGCAACCAGUCAGAGUGGUUAAGACGCAGCAUCAGUACACAUAUUACACUACUUCUUUCCUCAGUUAUUAAUGCAGGCUGUGUCUUUAUUUGUGAUCAAUACUUAGUGAUAUUUCCUGUUGUAGUUUUUCUCCCUGUUGUGCUGAUAUCGAUCCUGGCAAUCACGUCACCAUGUCUGUCUGUACUCCUGGCCGUUUGGUCCAUGUCCGCCGCCGGCCGUUUCUCGGCACCGUUGCAUCAGCGGGUGUCCCCGGAAGAGUGCCCGUGCGCAUUGCGUCCUCACUUCCUGCUGUGAGCCAGCACGCCCUGCCACCCACCCACCAUAGCAACCGGCUCCUCGUCUGCGCGCCGGCCACAUCCAGUCCUGCUCAUUUGGUUACGGUCUCGCCGGCGCUCCAUCCGUCCCGGCUAGGGCAGCGUCCCGGCAUCGGCGGUGGGAGCCGCGUCUCCGCCGAUGUAAGAGGACCCUCUGUAGGAGAGCCGGCGUCUGGUGAGUCUCGGAUGCAAGGGAGAUGUGAAAACGAGGCCUGUCUACGAGUGUCACGCAACCUGUGUGCCAGUGAGUGGGCUUCAGCAAGAAGCAACUUGCCUGGGCUUCAGAUGAACAGGUCACCAGGAGCCAAGUCCCCGCCCCGCCUCCACUGAGUCAUUGAUUCAUCUGGGCCACCACAGAAACGCUGAUGCCACGGAAUCUGGGUGUAGAAACUGACUCGAGGCCCCACAGCUGCCUCUGCGCUCCGUCCCAUGAACUCGAGCUUCGAUGCUGUGAUGCCGAUUCCGACCAUACGGCGUCAUGGCCCUGCCCUCAGAUGUCCCCAUCGCUCGGAAUUGUACUAACUCAAGAUUCAAGAUUCUUUAAUUGUCACGUACACAAUCAUGCAGAGUGCAACACGUAGUGAAAUGCAUCCUGAACCACACUUUUUUUUUUGCGAGUUAAAAUCCAAGUUAAAGUGCAAAAAGCUAAAAGUGAAAGCAGUGAGCAGUGUGACAGUGCGGAUAUGGUGAGGGGUACGAGAGCACAGUGUACAUCAGGGUGUGAGGUGCAGUGGCAUGUCCAGGUUCAGAAGCCUUAUGGCCUGGGGGUAGAAACUCCUCCUAAGCCUCUCAGUCCUGGCCAUGAUGUUCCUGAGUCUCUUUCCUGAUUUCAGAAGCUGAAACAGGCUGUUAUUGGGGUGGGAUGUGUCCUUCAUGAUCCUGAAGGCCCUGCUCCUACAUCUCUUGAUGUAAAUGUCCUGAAGAGAUGGAAGGGCCGACCUGCAGCAGCGUUCUGCUGCACGGAUCACCCUCUUGAGGGCUUUGCGAUCCUGAACACAGCUAUUCCUGAACCAGGAAGUAAUGUUCUGAGUCAGGAUGCUCUCCACAGCACCAGAGUAGAAAGUCCGUAGGAUCGUUGGAGAGACCCUGAACUUCCUCAGCUUUUGCAGGUGGUACAGGCGCUGCGUAGCCCUUUGGGACUGGACUUGGAUGCGAAUAGUCCACGUCAGAUCCUGAGAAAUGUGGACACCCAGAUAUUUAAAACUCCUCACCCUCUCCACAGGAGAUCCAUUGAUGGUGAGGGGAGUGUAGGCUCACUGCUGCCUCCUACUGAAGUCCACCACCAGCUCCUCUGUCUUGUCGACAUUCAGCUGGAGACUUUUGUUGUGACACCACACAACUCAGAUGAGGUGUGGAAAUUCUCAGUGUUUGGUUAGGGCUCUUGUCUUGGCAACCUUAUGCAGGAGCGUUAACAUCUUGCGUUUAAUAUUAGCUGCAUCCAGAAACCAAUGUCGACCAACAGGGCGAGGCAAAUGGUGAACGUUUCAGGAGAUAAGAAGGGAGAUGUGAAUGGCAUGAUCUACAGAGAUCAUUAACAGCUAGAUCUCUCAACUUCCCUAUCCUGAUAAUCCAUAAAUCAUUGAAAUGUUCAUAGUGGAACUCCAUGAUCAUUGUUCUUUCUAUGACACCACUAAGCUCUACCUUGCAAUCCUGUUGCUGAUAUUCCCACUGCCUCUAACACUAACCUCACCUUCUCCUGCACAUAACAUCUGACUCCUCAUCCUUGCAAAAUCCGGAGAGGUCCUACAGAUCUGCUUAUAUUUUGCAACACAUGCUUGUUUAAAUCAUCUGUAGAAAACAUGUGAUUUAAUUCACUGGAUAUUUUGCAAUUGAAGUGAGCAACUGCUAUUGUACUCAGUACUACUGUGCACAGCUGCUUCUGCAAUAGUAUACCUACUAUACCCAUCUUCUGAAAAGUGGUAAGUGGAACCAUCAGAGGAGAUUAACCGGUGUAUAUGGCAUGAACAGAAAAGAGAAGAGGAUCUGCUACUGAUUCCUAUGUGACCCCCAUAAAUAAGUCACAGAGAAAGAGCCAGGGAUCAGGGAGGUAUAGCGUGAUUGACUUUGGUGUAUGUCAGAUAGUAUAGAUGCCGUGCCCAGGAACAUAAGAACAAAGGAGAGGGAAGGUGGAGAUCGGAGAACCUCAGAGACCACAAGGAAGGUCAUAUCAGUGGAUGCUCCAAACUGGAUGCCGCAGUUGGUGUAUGUUUUGGAGACCGUUGGUUUUCAGUGUUCUGGAAAACGAGGGACAAGGAAACAUGAGGUAAUGCUCUCAACCGAGCAGGAGUCAGAGCGUGCUGAGUCCGCGUGUGCUGCUGAGCUGAGAAGUGGUAGCAUUCCAGUUUGACACUGACUGCACGUUUGCAUUGCAAAUGAAACUAGCUCAUCGUUUUCAUUUAAAGAGAAAAGCCCUGCGCUAGCAGCGACUUAUUUCCAGUGAGCUGGCUAAAUGACUAAGAGAGUGGCCCCGUCCGCUGGUGACGUGGUGUUUUCUCCCGGGUCCUGGCAAUGCCGCCACACAUCGCUCUGAAAUGCUUUCCACGCUGAUGCGUCCGAAGAAUCCAAGUGCAUGCUUUGGAUUUAAGGACCCUUCAGUUGCAUUUAUUUCAUGGCGUUCCUGGAGGAACCCACAUGAUUUUCCAUACACGUGUCCCCUGCAUAGUCGAUGUUUGAGAUGGUGUUGUCUUAUAGAUGGAGCUGUGGUGUAAAUGUAUCCCUGCAACUUAUGUGUAAAUCAGCCCUGUGUGUCACGGGUGGGUGUAGCAGAAAAUGGGUGUGACUCGGUAGGUACAAGCUUCCAUUCUGCUGGUCCCUCCGCAGCCCCCCAGAUCCUGUCACGGUCUGGCUUCCUGUUGAGCAAUCGCUUUCUGAAAGGCAUUUCUGAAACACGUAUACCCCGUCACCAUGACUGUGACUUUUGGGCUGUGUGGGUGAGCUUCAAACCCAGCAGUUAAGAGUGGAGUUUUUAUAUGAAACAAAUCUCCAAUGAAAAACAGUGACCGUGCCAGCAAGGCUCAUUGUUUUAGACUAAUGAAAGGGAGCCUGCAUACUUUUCAAAAGAGUAUUUACCCAUAACUGCGCCUGCAGACCAUCCAUGACUAGUUUGUUUCCUGGCUCUGUCUACUCCCGGCCAAGCCUCUGUGUUGGGCCUCUUGGUUCAGGUGCCUCACCUAUUAUUGCCCCUGCUCCUCCCCGCCUGCCACACACCUGCUCUUUAUUGCCCGCCCGAUAGCUUCCACGGACCUCAGACCGGACACACAUGCCCGCACGCCCACCUCACGUGUCCUUCUGCACCAUGGUUACCGUACAACGUCGAUCGCAUUGAACAGUCGCCAGUAAAACUUGAUAGUUUUUAACUCAUGGGGGGAGCGGGGGCUGUAAUUAGUUUAUGAGGCCGGUUGUAAUCUGUCUGUGUCGCUGUGUUGCGAGGUCAGGUUUAGAGCUUCUUUUCCAGGCAGAUCUUGAGGCCGGGCCGCUCGGCCUGACCGAGAAAGCUAUGUCGUGUCUCCGCUGCCAGCCAUCUCUCUCGGACUCGCUGCUGCUCCCCCAGAAACUGAAACUAACACGCUUCUGGAUGUUUUGAUCCUUCCCUUCUGCAGUCUUCUCACGACUGAAACCUGAUUUCGGAUUUCUGAGAAGGAAACUCGCAUGAAAUCUGCAGACUCACAAAAAAAAAAAAUAAUAAUACACAGGCCGAGUGAAUUUGUUCGAUCGUGUCUUUAUGCCAUCCCUAGAUAUACAUCUCAGCCAUGUUCAUCAGCUUCAGAGUACGGCAGAGGUAAAUUCAAAAUGUUAGUUGUAUAAACAAGUGACCAGGGUAUACAGUUUAAACAAGUGUGUGCAAGUAAUAAAGUGUGUAGUAUAAACAAGCCUAAACAAAUAGUAAUGUGUAUAAUAUGAAAAGGUAUAAACAAGCAUCAGUUAUGGUUAUUGUUUAAUUCACCAUUGUAGUGCCGUGUAAUCGAGCUGAAGGUGAUCAAUACAUUUAUGAUGGGAUAGAAAAAAUCUGUGAAAUUCACAGCAGGUUUUGGGGCUACAGUUAGUGGUAGCUGAGGUUAGCAUCCGUUAUAAUAAGUCAUAACUGCAUUGUAAUUGUGGCUGUGCUGUUCUGGUCUGCAUUUAGUAUUCGCUGUCUUAGCUCUACCCAUUUGGCGCACAGUUUGUGCUCAGAUUCACCAGCUUUGCUGGAGUUUGGCUGACAUCUAUAAUGAAGUAAAUACUUGAGCAUUGAAUGUCAUACUGCACUGUUUCUGCAAAGGGGGAUGCUGUACUAACUGCAAUAUUAUAGAAGAUUACACAUCAAGCCACUACCAUCCAAUGUGAUUAUCCAGUAGUGCCUGCUUCCUUCAUCCAUUGUGAUGGGCGACAUUCUAUUAUUCAACCCUAAGAGGGACUCAUCAGGCAAGAACUACAGGACAAAUUCAGAAAAUAGAUUUAGAUUAAUAAUUCUGCAGUGGGGCUGAUAAAAAAUAAAUAAAUCGGAUGUAGAAUCACCUACUCUGUAUACCAGCUUAAUUCCCAGAACGUGGGUUUUGGAUGGGAUUGGUUUGCUCUUGAAGAUGCGCCAUCAGGCCCGGCUCAAACUGUGAAAUGUUGGGUAUCCCCAGGAUUAUCUAAUUAUCUCAGGCGGCUGUUGUUUGGAUGAGUGGGUCGGACCCAUUUUUAAAAAUACCUUGCUUUUAACCACCCGUAUACUAAGAAAUCAUUUCAAGCUUAAAAUGAAAAAAAGUUUCCAGUUGGGCCAUCGAUACUGUUUAGUGAUCAGUAUCUGGACACGCUGCCUCGCACAUGUGCAUCUAGUUUGUGUUUCUGACGUACCGCAGGUGGUCGAUGCUGCUCCCUCUCAGAUCGCACAGGAACCAGCUUUCUCACACCCCUUUGAUAGCGACUCCGUCAUGGAAAAAAGCUUAGUCACUAGGUUUCUUUCUAAAAUAGUUGACAAAUAGGUUUUAAAACUUAUAAAGUUUGCUGAAACAUGGAAAGUCCCGCUCUUGGUCAGGCUUCUGGUUGUGUGGGUCAGACCCGUUGUGCCCCAACGCGGAGCAGGAGCUGCUCACCAUAUCAGCAUUAGGGGUGGCUGAGGCGAGCGAUUUUUGGCAAUUUGUGCUGUAGCGAACUUUGUUUUUCUGUGGGCCUGAGUGGCAGAAAGACCAGUGGCCGGUUUGCUGCUCACCAUGCCAUCUGGGUACUAUGGAAAGGUCUUAUUUGGACAUAGUGGUCUUAAGGUUGAGAUUGUGGUGCACUUGAUCCUAGGGGAAGAUUCUGGUGCAUACAUCAAUGAGAACACAGAGCACAGACACAGACAAACAUACAUCUAGUGUCAGGCAGACACAAGUGCAAAGAGAGUACAUACAGCACAAACAAAUAAACAUGGUGUACACAAAUUAAAAAUUGGAGUCUUUGUUUUCUCUCUAUUUACUGAGAAAGUAGAUUUAAAAUUAAUCGCUAAUGACCUACGAAGACCUACGGCAUGUUAUUUAAAAUGUCUUUAACUUAAGGGCUACCUAGGAAACAAGUUUGCCGAAGGUUCCAGCCAGAUGUUUGACAGUAAUGAUGAUUUACAGGUGUGUCAGCAUCACUGAUCUGCCAAUCUGCACUGUCGCUGUUUGUGUGUGUGUGUGUGUUUCUGCACACGCCCACUGUGGUUCAGCCCAAUGGCUUUGCUGCUAGCGCUGAGAUCUGCUGGGCUGCGAUGCAGUGCAGAGCGGACCCCUCCUUGACUCCGCCUGAGGAGGUCUUCAGUGAAAUGUCAGACGUCGCUCGCCCCAGCACAGAUUUGCGCAGUGGCUGGGAUGUGCCACCGGGGCGGCGCUCCAGCGCACGCAGGGUACUCUGUGGCACUGGGGUGUGUCCUGCUUCACCUUUUCAGUUCUCCCCCCUCCUUCACUCCCCACCCCUACCCUGCAGACUCUCUGCACCCUGCCCUCCUUCCGCCCUUUUUCCCACCUGUCUGCCUGAGAUUUCAAAUCAGGGUUUGGUUUUUCUAAAAGCUUCGGGGUUUCUUAUGGGUGUAGUUAUUGUUCUGAGUUGAGUUUCGAUACCGGGCUUGGGUUUGGUUACAGUGCUGUGCGAUUCUGCACUUAUAUCGAUCUGGGUGCAGCUUUGGGUUUGGUCACGAUUCAGCUUUCACUCUUAGAUGCGUGUGUUUUUGUUUCUGCGUCCUGAUUAAUCUUAUGGUCAGAUCUGUUUCUGGUCUGGUUUGGGUGGUGUUGCAAAAACCUCAUAUUUACCCCAUACUGACUUAAUCUCCCUCUGUGACUGCAUACCAGUGAAUACAUGCACCUAGCUAUAAAUACGGAACUUAACCCCCUAAACCCCCUAACGGGUAUCAAGGCAAAUGGCCUGACCAUGUGCUCGGACCCCAAGCCUCACUCUCACCUGUAUGCAUGUGCAUGUCUCAAUAAGAGAGCAUGAUGCAAUAUGUGAAAACAAGAAUUUGGAUGUAUCUGCACUCGUACUUCUGCAAAUGGCUAUUAAAAUAGAGCAUUAGGCAGACUCUAACUACUUUAACAUUGUAGAUUCACUUUCAAAUACUCUUUUCACUUAUGCUGUGUCUUAUUUUCUCAUGCAGCAGGCAUUAUGAAUGGGUCUGUCACAUAGUGACAUUUGCAAAGGGCCUUUUUUCCAUCUGCAUGUUUGACAUGCAUGUUUUACAUGCGGCUCCCAGCACUGCAGAGGAAAGCAUGCGAUGCGCUUUGCAUAAGCCGCUGCUUCCCUUUUUCCCCGCAGCGCUCAGACGAUGCCUUUUCUCUUCGCUCCGUCUCCACUUCAGACUGACUCCUGCUGGCCCAUCUGAAGUCCGGGACGUCCACACAGGCUUGACUUUCAGUCGGUCUGUGCGGGAGAUCGGUUGGCUUUCGCCAAUGUUCCGCACAAGAGGGACCUCCGUGUGAAUUCCCGCUCCCCGAAGGUCAGCCGACACUGAGCAGCACCGACCCUGGGCAGAUGGACCCUGGACAGCACCGACCAAGGUCAGAAGCAUAGUGUACUGAAGAAGGUGGUGAUGAAGAGAAGCUCCUCAGCCGGCUGGUCGUUCUACUCCUGGGGAUGCCUUGGGGGAAGCCUCUGCUGUUUGCAUAGGCCUAGUGCUGAGAGAAGCCCCAUAGCGUACAAAGGGAGUUGUUGGGACUGACUACUCAUUAACCUGGCCAUUUGUUUGAAAUGCCACUUUCACUCACACUAAGCUAUGUCAUAUACACAUUGCAUUAACUACUUUUACAUUCAAAACUUGUUAUGCAAAAAAAAUUAUGCAAGUACAGUAUCAGAGGGAUUGAUUUACAGCUUUAUGUAUUUUUCAGCGCAACUACAGGAAUUAAUGGUCCUCUUUAAUGUAUCUGACUAAUUUGUCAUGUAUUCAUUUGAAUUGUUUUGUCAUAGUGAAUUUGCAUUUGAAUGAUAAUGCAAAUACCACAGGAAAACUUACAAAGUUUGAGUUGAAAGUGACUAAGUGGAUAAUUCCUGAUAAGAAUUUGUGUAUAAGAAAAAGACUCUGUAACACAAAAAUCAGAAUAACUUGAGUCAGAUGUUCCGGUUUAGUAAGUUAGCUUAUGUGCAUCUCUGGGUACAGAGAAUCAUGUCAGUUAUAAAAAGCAAGUAAGAUCCCAGAAGUUGUAAACAAGUAAUGUUUUUAAUAUAUUUUUGAAAUGUAAUAUUGAUAUAAAAAAUUAAAAAGGAAUAGAAUAUG